rnacentral:rRNA from 1 species
UAAUACGGAGGGUGCAAGCGUUGUCCGGAUUUAUUGGGUUUAAAGGGUGCGUAGGCGGCCUUAUAAGUCAGUGGUGAAAGCCCAUCGCUCAACGAUGGAACUGCCAUUGAUACUGUAAGGCUUGAGUACAGACGAGGUAGGCGGAAUUGAUGGUGUAGCGGUGAAAUGCAUAGAUACCAUCAAGAACACCGAUUGCGUAGGCAGCUUACUAGGCUGUAACUGACGCUGAGGCACGAAAGCGUGGGGAGCGAACAGGAUUAGAUACCCUGGUAGUCCACGCUGUAAACGAUGAUUACUCGAUGUUGGCGAUACACAGUCAGCGUCUUAGCGAAAGCGUUAAGUAAUCCACCUGGGGAGUACGCCCGCAAGGGUG